rnacentral:rRNA from 1 species
AGUGAACGCUGGCGGUAGGCCUAACACAUGCAAGUCGAACGGCAGCACAGGAGAGCUUGCUCUCUGGGUGGCGAGUGGCGGACGGGUGAGGAAUACAUCGGAAUCUACUCUGUCGUGGGGGAUAACGUAGGGAAACUUACGCUAAUACCGCAUACGACCUACGGGUGAAAGCAGGGGACCUUCGGGCCUUGCGCGAUUGAAUGAGCCGAUGUCGGAUUAGCUAGUUGGCGGGGUAAAGGCCCACCAAGGCGACGAUCCGUAGCUGGUCUGAGAGGAUGAUCAGCCACACUGGAACUGAGACACGAUCCAGACUCCUACGGGAGGCAGCAGUGGGGAAUAUUGGACAAUGGGCGCAAGCCCGAUCCAGCCAUACCGCGUGGGUGAAGAAGGCCUUCGGGUUGUAAGCCCUUUUGUUGGGAAAGAAAUCCAGCUGGCUAAUACCCGGUUGGGAUGACGGUACCCAAAGAAUAAGCACCGGCUAACUUCGUGCCAGCCGCCGCGGUAA